GAUGAACGCUGGCGGCGUGCCUAAUACAUGCAAGUCGAGCGAACGGACGAGAAGCUUGCUUCUCUGAUGUUAGCGGCGGACGGGUGAGUAACACGUGGAUAACCUACCUAUAAGACUGGGAUAACUUCGGGAAACCGGAGCUAAUACCGGAUAAUAUUUUGACCCGCAUGGUUCAAGAGUGAAAGACGGUCUUGCUGUCACUUAUAGAUGGAUCCGCGCUGCAUUAGCUAGUUGGUAAGGUAACGGCUUACCAAGGCAACGAUGCAUAACCGACCUGAGAGGGUGAUCGGCCAGACUGGAACUGAGACACGGUCCAGACUCCUGCGGGAGGAAGCAGUAGGGAAUCUUCCGCAAUGGGCGAAAGCCUGACGGAGCAACGCCGCGUGAGUGAUGAAGGUCUUCGGAUCGUAAAACUCUGUUAUUAGGGAAGAACAUAUGUGUAAGUAACUGUGCACAUCUUGACGGUACCUAAUCAGAAAGCCACGGCUAACUACGUG
rnacentral:rRNA from 1 species